GACGAACGCUGGCGGCGUGCUUAACACAUGCAAGUCGAACGGAAAGGCCCCUUUGGGGGUACUCGAGUGGCGAACGGGUGAGUAACACGUGAGUAACCUGCCCUUGACUUCGGGAUAACUUCAGGAAACUGGGGCUAAUACCGGAUAGGAAUCCUUGCUGCAUGGGGGGGGUUGGAAAGCUUCGGCGGUUUUGGAUGGACUCGCGGCUUAUCAGCUUGUUGGUGGGGUAGUGGCUUACCAAGGCUUUGACGGGUAGCCGGCCUGAGAGGGCGACCGGCCACAUUGGGACUGAGCUACGGCCCAGACUCCUACGGGAGGCAGCAGUGGGGAAUAUUGCACAAUGGGCGGCAGCCUGAUGCAGCAACGCCGCGUGCGGGAUGACGGCCUUCGGGUUGUAAACCGCUUUCAGCAGGGGCGAAGCUUGUGGUGACGGUACCUGCAGAAGAAGCACCGGCUAACUACGUG
rnacentral:rRNA from 1 species